UACGUAGGGGGCAAGCGUUGUUCGGAAUUAUUGGGCGUAAAGGGUGCGUAGGCGGUUUGGUAAGUCUCGUGUGAAAUCUCCGGGCUCAACUCGGAGCCUGCACGAGAAACUGCCGGGCUUGAGUGUGGGAGAGGUGAGUGGAAUUCCUGGUGUAGCGGUGAAAUGCGUAGAUAUCAGGAGGAACACCUGUGGCGAAAGCGGCUCACUGGACCAUAACUGACGCUGAUGCACGAAAGCUAGGGGAGCAAACAGG
rnacentral:rRNA from 1 species